UUCAUUGGCCCCAAGUGUACAUAUGUGUAUAUAUGCAUACCAAGUGUAUGUAUCGCGUUUUUAUCCGACGGAUUAUCGAGCGCCGACCGGCCGGUAGGCGAGCGUUAUAAUGCAUUGGAUUACAAGGAAUGUCAAUUCCAACAAAAUUUGGAAACAGAGGGCAAGUCAGCUCUGACGAAAGGAUUCGCGCAAGCCAGUUGACCCCACGUCUGGUCUCUUCUAGAUUCUCCAUUUCCAUACCGCGUCCUUACCGCAUGAGAAAACAGACGGGCAAAGAGAGAACGUGGUUAAAGCUGUCCCUUCUCUCUUCCGGCUAAAGUCGAUGAGGGGCACGUUGCACGUACCUCGUCGUCGUCGUCGUCGUCGU